GAAAAUGGAGGAGUUUAUUAGGCUGCGGGCCUCCAAAGAGGCCUUGUUUACUGGGGCCAAGCAUUCUGCCAGUGUAGCCUGGAAGUCAAUACUGGAGCAGAUGAAGAUUGACCAUUUAGUUACCACACUGCAGGCC